rnacentral:rRNA from 1 species
AUUGAACGCUGGCGGCAGGCCUAACACAUGCAAGUCGAGCGGAUGAAGGGAGCUUGCUCCUGGAUUCAGCGGCGGACGGGUGAGUCAUGCCUAGGAAUCUGCCUGGUAGUGGGGGAUAACGUCCGGAAACGGGCGCUAAUACCGCAUACGUCCUGAGGGAGAAGGUGGGGGAUCUUCGGACCUCACGGUAUCAGAUGAGCCUAGGUCGGAUUAGCUAGUUGGUGGGGUAAAGGCCUACCAAGGCGACGAUCCGUAACUGGUCUGAGAGGAUGAUCAGGCACCUUGGAACUGAGACACGGUCCAGACUCCUACGGGAGGCAGCAGUGGGGAAUAUUGGACAAUGGGCGAAAGCCUGAUCCAGCCAUGCCGCGUGUGUGAAGAAGGUCUUCGGAUUGUAAAGCACUUUAAGUUGGGAGGAAGGGCAGUAAGUUAAUACCUUGCUGUUUUGACGUUACCAACAGAAUAAGCACCGGCUAACUUCGUG